UUGGCAGAGCACAUCCUCAAGUAACUUCCUGAGAAAAUGGGUGCAUUGGAGGUACAUUUUCAAGAUUGUCACUAAAAAUGUUUCAUACUCCCACUGGCUAAAGGGAGGAGGAGUUCGGGAGCAGAGAUGGAGGCCAUGACCAUGACUUCCUGCUUUUGCAUGCCUGCCAACCUUUUACUGGACACCAGACAUUCUCCAGGCCCACAAAAGCAGCAAAACCAAGUGGGCGAUGCCAGGACCAGCUGCAAUGACUGAUGACCCCCUGCACUGCCACUGACCAAUCAGUGGAGACCACGACCCUAAAGAGCACACCUGGAGAACUGAUGAAUAUUCUGCUGAGAACUCCCCUAAGAUCCCACCACAAGAGAGAGAUAAAAGCCUCAAGACAAAGGACCCAGCCUCCUGCUCUCCCUGCGGGGAGCAGCCUUCACCAUUUCCUUUCCUCUCUUCUUCCCCCCACUGCUUCCCCCACAGGCACACAUGUCCUGUGCUCUGGGGGACCCCACAAGACUUGAAAUCAAGAGAGCAGUGGUUAGUGGCAGCUUGUCCUGGGCUAACUUCUGAACCUGUCCCCAAAACCACCUUUUCACUGACUCCCCAGUGAGCUAAAGCAGCCCAGCCGAGGCUCUUCUGUUGCUUCUUCUAUGCUAAGUCCUUCCUUGUUUUGCUGUCCCCAGCUUUAGUAAACAUAUCCUCAGUCACCUGGACUCAUGCUGUGAAAUCUCU